rnacentral:lncRNA from 10 species
UCUACCAUCCUUGAAGCAGGAAAAAAACUCGAACUUGUCUUCCCUGCUGGGAGCAAGCUCAAACUCCAUAAAAGAGUUGUCAGCCUUCCAUCAUCACGGACCCAGGAAAUCUUGCCUUCCUUCUUGGAAGCAAAUAAAACUCCAAAAGAAGGAGAGGGGGAGUUGUACAUCAAAUAAACUUUAGAUCACGACCAAGUUUUGAGAGAUCAGGGACUCUAUGGAGGGGGUGCUCCCAGACCUCAGCAAAUUGUCCUGUUGGUUUGAGCCAUAAGGUUAGCUCAUGGUGCUACCAAGCACCAAUAGAUCUGUCAAAGGUCAGGGGUACCUCAACUCAGAAUCCCUCCAUGGUUACCAAAAUGUGAACCCCCCAAAUCUGAGACAGGUCUCAGUUAAUUUAGAAAGUUUAUUGUUCCAAGGUUGAAGAUGCACACCCGUGACACAGCCUCAGGAUGUCCUGACGACAUGUGCCAAGGUGGUCAUACGUUUUAGGGAGACAUGAGACAUCAAUCAACACAUGUAAGAUGAACAUUGGUUCAGUCUGGAAAAGGCCGGGCAACGCCAAGCAAAUGUGGGACAACUCGCAGCCAGGAGAAAGCUUCCAGGUCACAGUAUUUUUGACUUACCACGUGUUUAUUGGGACGUAACCCCUUCCUAAGAUGAAGAGCAUCUGUAUACAUCCAGAAUCCUGUGGAGCAACUCAUAACCCAUGAGGAAUGGAAGCCGACAGACAGACUCAUCCCCAGGACAGGUGGUUCUCACUACAUCUCAUAAAGCUUCUUAGAAGAUCUUACAGGAUUGAGCAACCAGCCAGCCACAGCAGGGGCCAACUGGAUAACACGUCUUUGCAUAGGCUCUCCCUCUGUCCCUGUCACCCUCCCCUUUUCCUAACCUUGUUCCUUGGGAUUAUGUUUUGAAAUAAAUUAUUCAGAGAAAUGAAGCCAAAGCUGACCCAUUAGCCAAUAGCUAGGUUCUGUGAUGACAGAGCUUCUGGGCUAUAAUCGUUUACUGAGAAGCCAGCGUUCCUGAGGGGAUAAUGGCUCGUUCCAUUCAGCUGCAGCAUAGGAGUGAGGGCAGGGCAUUAGCAGAAGAUAACACCAGAAACGUGCUCUGGGGCCUGUUGAUGACUUUCUGUGCCAAGCACAGACAUUUAGCCUUUAUUCUGUAUGUGAUGGGAAGCCAGUGCCAGUGGUGGGUUUGAGCAGGGAACCAGCAACCAGUGGUGGGUUUGAGCAGGGAACCAGCAAUACUCAAGCUCUGCUUGGAUGGAGGCCAGUCAGGGAGGAGUUAGGGCAGGAGGACCAGUCAGGGAGGAGACUUAGGGCAGGAGGACCAGUCAGGGAGGAGACUUAGGGCAGGAGGACCGGUCAGGGAGGAGACUUAGGGCAGGAGUACUGGUCAGGGAGGAGACUUAGGGCAGGAGGACCGGUCAGGGAGGAGACUUAGGGCAGGAGGACCGGUCAGGGAGGAGACUUAGGGCAGGAGGACCGGUCAGGGAGGAGUUAGGGCUGGAGGACGGGUCAGGGAGGAGACUUAGGGCAGGAGGACCGGUCAGGGAGGAGUUAGGGCUGGAGGACCGGUCAGGGAGGAGUUAGGGCAGGAGGACUGGUCAGGGAGGAGACUUAGGGCAGGAGGACCGGUCAGGGAGGAGACUUAGGGCAGGAGGACCGGUCAGGGAGGAGACUUAGGGCAGGAGGACUGGUCAGGGAGGAGACUUAGGGCAGGAGGACAGGUCAGGGAGGAGUUAGGGCUGGAGGACGGGUCAGGGAGGAGUUAGGGCUGGAGGACCGGUCAGGGAGGAGUUAGGGCAGGAGGACAGGUCAGGGAGGAGUUAGGGGAGGAGGACCGGUCAGGGAGGAGUUAGGGCAGGAGGACGGGUCAGGGAGGAGUUAGGGGAGGAGGACUGGUCAGGGAGGAGUUAGGGCUGGAGGACCGGUCAGGGAGGAGUUAGGGCAGGAGGACCGGUCAGGGAGGAGUUAGGGCUGGAGGACCGGUCAGGGAGGAGUUAGGGCAGGAGGACCGGUCAGGGAGGAGUUAGGGCAGGAGGACCGGUCAGGGAGGAGACUUAGGGCAGGAGGACUGGUCAGGGAGGAGUUAGGGCUGGAGGACCGGUCAGGGAGGAGUUAGGGCAGGAGGACUGGUCAGGGAGGAGUUAGGGCAGGAGGACAGGUCAGGGAGGAGUUAGGGCAGGAGGAUCGGUCAGGGAGGAGUUAGGGCAGGAGGACCGGUCAGGGAGGAGUUAGGGCAGGAGGACCGGUCAGGGAGGAGUUAGGGCAGGAGGACAGGUCAGGGAGGAGACUUAGGGCUGGAGGACUGGUCAGGGAGGAGUUAGGGCAGGAGGACCAGUUAGGAGGCAGUGACUUAGGACUUCAGCAGUGGCACUAGAAAGGGGAUGGAUAUGAACGACAUUGCAAAGUAAAACUAGAGAGACGGCCGGGCACAGUGGCUCACUCCUGUAAUCCCAGCACUUUGGGAGGCCAAGGCGGGUGGAUCAUGAGGUCAGGAGAUCGAGACCAGCCUGGCCAACAUGGUGAAACCCUAUCUCUACUAGAAAAAAAAAAAAAUAGCCAGGCGUGGUGGCGGGCGCCUGUAAUCCCAGCUACUCCAGAGGCUGAGGCAGGAGAAUUUGCUUGAACCAGGGAGUCGGAAGUUGCAGUGAGCUGAGAUCGCACCACUGCACUCCAGCCUGGGCAAUAGAGUGAGACUCCGUCUCAAUAACAAAACAAACAAACAAAAACCUAGAGAGACUUGGCACCUUGCAGAGAGAAGCAAAAGAUGACCCUGAGGUCUGGAGUCCAGGAAGCCAAGGACAGCAAAAGCAUCCACAGAAACAGGAAAAGGGCAGGUGUGGGAGGGAAGGUGAGAGGUUCAUCAGACCUCACAGCCCCUGGCAGCGCCUCCUGGAUCUUUGAAAUCCUGUGCACCCCAGGAGACUCCGGGAGGCCCAUCUGAGCUCACCGGAGACAGGUCUGCCGUCUCUCCUCUCAUCACUGGGGACAGAAAGCCUGAACAUGAGGCCUGGACUACGGGGCUCAGACCAGAAUAUUUCCAGACUUAAGGGCAGUAAUGUGGAGCCCAGGAAGGAAUAUUGAGGACAGAGGGCACAUUACUUAGCUCAAGGGGUGCUGGGUUCUUAUUUUCUACUUUCAAGAAAUGUUUGCUAUAGUCACUGUAACCACCACAAAACAGUGAAUAAUACCAUGAGCCAAAUGUAUGUUUCACAAUUUGUAUGGCUGAUUCUACGCACAUUUAAAUGUGUUUAUGACAAUUGUAGAUUUCGGUUUUCCUCUGG